UGGCUUCAAUUAAUGUAUUCGCUGACGGU
rnacentral:sRNA from 1 species